GGGCGGUUAGCUCAGCGGUAGAGCGACGGUUUUACACGCCGUUGGUCGGGGGUUCGAUCCCCUCACCGCCCA
rnacentral:tRNA from 1 species